rnacentral:rRNA from 1 species
AGCGAACGCUGGCGGCAGGCCUAACACAUGCAAGUCGAACGGAUCCUUCGGGAUUAGUGGCGGACGGGUGAGUAACACGUGGGAACGUGCCCUUUGGUUCGGAACAACUCAGGGAAACUUGAGCUAAUACCGGAUGUGCCCUUCGGGGGAAAGAUUUAUCGCCAUUGGAGCGGCCCGCGUUGGAUAAGGUAGUUGGUGAGGGAAAGGCUCACCAAGCCGACGAGCCAUAGCUGGUCUGAGAGGAUGACCAGCCACACUGGGACUGAGACACGGCCCAGACUCCUACGGGAGGCAGCAGUGGGGAAUCUUGCGCAAUGGGCGAAAGCCUGACGCAGCCAUGCCGCGUGAAUGAUGAAGGUCUUAGGAUUGUAAAAUUCUUUUACCAGGGACGAUAAUGACGGUACCUGGAGAAAAAGCCCCGGCUAACUUCGUGCCAGCAGCCGCCGCCGUAA